AUUGAACGCUGGCGGCAGGCCUAACACAUGCAAGUCGAACGGUAACAGGAAGCAGCUUGCUGCUUUGCCGACGAGUGGCGGACGGGUGAGUAAUGUCUGGGAAACUGCCCGAUGGAGGGGGAUAACUACUGGAAACGGUAGCUAAUACCGCAUAACGUCGCAAGACCAAAGAGGGGGACCUUAGGGCCUCUUGCCAUCGGAUGUGCCCAGAUGGGAUUAGCUAGUAGGUGGGGUAACGGCUCACCUAGGCGACGAUCCCUAGCUGGUCUGAGAGGAUGACCAGCCACACUGGAACUGAGACACGGUCCAGACUCCUACGGGAGGCAGCAGUGGGGAAUAUUGCACAAUGGGCGCAAGCCUGAUGCAGCCAUGCCGCGUGUAUGAAGAAGGCCUUCGGGUUGUAAAGUACUUUCAGCGGGGAGGAAGGGAGUAAAGUUAAUACCUUUGCUCAUUGACGUUACCCGCAGAAGAAGCACCGGCUAACUCCGUG
rnacentral:rRNA from 1 species